GAUGAAGAACGUAGCGAAAUGCGAUAAGUAAUGUGAAUUGCAGAAUUCAGUGAAUCAUCGAAUCUUUGAACGCACCUUGCACCCUUUGGCAUUCCGAAGGGUAUGCUCGUUUGAGUGUCAUUGUACUCUCACACUCUCCGAUCCUAUGGAUUCGGGGAGCGGUGGACUUGGGUGUUGCUGCCUUUCCUUGUGGCUCACCUCAAAUGUGUCAGUGCACCUCUUGGUUGGACAUAGUACGGCGUGAUAAGUGUCUUCGCCGGCACCUCGCAAGAGGGUGGCCGAUCGGGAGCUCUGUGCUUUCAAACCGUCUUCGGACAAUUUCUGACAACUUGACCUCAAAUCGAGUAGGACUACCCGCUGAACUUAAGCAUAUCAAUAAGCGGAGG
rnacentral:misc_RNA from 1 species